rnacentral:rRNA from 2 species
UUGUUGCUGGCUCCUCGGGGCAUGUGCACACUUGUCAUUAUUUUUCCUCUGUGCACCAACUGUAGGUCUGGAGUUUUUGAAACUCUUUUUUCGAUUGAGGGAUUGCUGAAAGUCUCAGCUCUGCCUUGCAUCUUCAGGUCUAUGUUUUUUACAAUCUCUCAAUGUGUUUGGAAUGUCGAGUUGUGAAUAUAAUAAUAUACAUACAACUUUCAGCAACGGAUCUCUUGGCUCUCGCAUCGAUGAAGAACGCAGCGAAAUGCGAUAAGUAAUGUGAAUUGCAGAAUUCAGUGAAUCAUCGAAUCUUUGAACGCAUCUUGCGCUCCUUGGUAUUCCGAGGAGCAUGCCUGUUUGAGUGUCAUCAAGUUCUCAACCACAUUGAUUUGCUUCGAUGUGGAUUGGAUAUGGGGUUUGCAGGCCUUUUCAAGAGGUCUGCUUUUCUGAAAUAAAUUAGUGGUGUCUGAGCAGAGACUUACUACAGGUGUGAUAACUAUCUAUGCCUUUGUAAAACACUGCACAAACUGCUUCAAAUCAUCAUUGUUGACCAAUUUGACCUCAAAUCAGGUAGGACUACCCGCUGAACUUAAGCAUAUCAAUAAGCGGAGGAAAAGAAACUAACAAGGAUUCCCCUAGUAACUGCGAGUGAAGCGGGAAAAGCUCAAAUUUGAAAUCUGGCGGUUUUUGACCGUCCGAGUUGUAAUCUAGAGAAGUGUUACCCGUGCUGGACCGUGUACAAGUC